GACGAGGUGGCUGAAUGGUUAAGGCAAUGGACUACUAAUCCAUUGUGCUCUGCGCACAUGAGUUUGAGUCCCAUCCUCGUCA